rnacentral:rRNA from 1 species
UACGUAGGGGGCAAGCGUUGUCCGGAUUUACUGGGCGUAAAGAGCGUGUAGGCGGCCACGCAGGUCCGUUGUGAAAACUGGAGGCUCAACCUCCAGCUGUCGACGGAAACCGUAUGGCUAGAGUCCGGAAGAGGAGAGUGGAAUUCCCGGUGUAGCGGUGAAAUGCGCAGAUAUCGGGAGGAACACCAAUUGCGAAGGCAGCUCGCUGGGACGUCACUGACGCUGAGACGCGAAAGCCAGGGGAGCGAACGGG